AUGACGUCGGGGUGAGUCUCUGUAGAGGAUGACGUCGGGGUGAGUCUCUGUAGAGGAUGACGUCGGGGUGAGUCUCUGUAGAGGAUGACGUCGGGGUGAGUCUCUGUAGAGGAUGACGUCGGGGUGAGUCUCUGUAGAGGAUGACGUCGGGGUGAGUCUCUGUAGAGGAUGACGUCAGGGUGAGUCUCUGUAGAGCUUCCUGGUGGUGGUAGAGGAUGACGACAGGGUGAGUCUCUGUAGAGGAUGACGUCAGGGUUAGUCUCUGUAGAGGAUGACGUCAGGGUGAGUCUCUGUAGAGGAUGACGUCGGGGUGAGUCUCUGUAGAGGAUGAGGUCGGGGUGAGUCUCUGUAGAGGAUGAGGUCGGGGUGAGUCUCUGUAGAGGAUGACGUCGGGGUGAGUCUCUGUAGAGGAUGACGUCAGGGUGAGUCUCUGUAGAGGAUGACGUCAGGGUGAGUCUCUGUAGAGGAUGACGUCAGGGUGAGUCUCUGUAGAGGAUGACGUCAGGGUGUUUCUCUGUAGAUGAUGACGUCGGGGUGAGUCUCUGUAGAGCUUCCUGGUGGUGGUAGAGGAUGACGUCAGGGUGAGUCUCUGUAGAGGAUGACGUCAGGGUGAGUCUCUGUAGAGCUCCCUGGUGGUGGUAGAGGAUGACGUCCGGGUGAGUCUCUGUAGAGGAUGACGUCAGGGUGAGUCUCUGUAGAGGAUGACGUCAGGGUGAGUCUCUGUAGAGGAUGACGUCGGGGUGAGUCUCUGUAGAGCUUCCUGGUGGUGGUAGAGGAUGACAGCUGGGUGAGUCGCUGUAGAGGAUGACGUCAGGGUGAGUCUCUGUAGAGGAUGACGUCAGGGUGAGUCUCUGUAGAGGAUGACGUCAGGGUGAGUCUCUGUAGAGGAUGACGUCAGGGUGAGUCUCUGUGGAGGAUGACGUCAGGGUGAGUCUCUGUGGAGGAUGACGUCAGGGUGAGUCUCUGUGGAGGAUGACGUCAGGGUGAGUCUCUGUAGAGGAUGACGUCGGGGUGAGUCUCUGUAGAGGAUGACGUCGGGGUGAGUCUCUGUAGAGGAUGACGUCGGGGUGAGUCUCUGUAGAGGAUGACGUCGGGGUGAGUCUCUGUAGAGGAUGACGUUGGGGUGAGUCUCUGUAGAGCUUCCUGGUGGUGGUAGAGGAUGACGGCUGGGUGAGUCUCUGUAGAGGAUGACGUCAGGGUGAGUCUCUGUAGAGCUUCCUGGUGGGGGUAGAGGAUGACGUCAGGGUGAGUCUCUGUAGAGGAUGACAUUGGGGUGAGUCUCUGUAGAGGAUGACGUUGGGGUGAGUCUCUGUAGAGGAUGACUUCGGGGUGAGUCUCUGUAGAGGAUGACGUCGGGGUGAGUCUCUGUAGAGGAUGACGUCAGGGUGAGUCUCUGUAGAGGAUGACGUCAGGGUGAGUCUCUGUAGAGCUUCCUGGUGGUGGUAGAGGAUGACGACAGGGGUGAGUCUCUGUAGUUGAUGACGUCAGGGUGAGUCUCUGUAGAGGAUGACGUCAGGGUGAGUCUCUGUAGAGGAUGACGUCAGGGUGAGUCUCUGUAGAGGAUGACGUCAGGGUGAGUCUCUGUAGAGCUUCCUGGUGGUGGUAGAGGAUGACGACAGGGUGAGUCUCUGUAGAGGAUGACGUCGGGGUGAGUCUCUGUAGAGGAUGACGUCGGGGUGAGUCUCUGUAGAGGAUGACGUCGGGGUGAGUCUCUGUAGAGGAUGACGUCAGGGUGAGUCUCUGUAGAGCUUCCUGGUGGUGGUAGAGGAUGACGACAGGGUGAGUCUCUGUAGAGGAUGAGGUCGGGGUGAGUCUCUGUAGAGGAUGAGGUCGGGGUGAGUCUCUGUAGAGGAUGAGGUCGGGGUGAGUCUCUGUAGAGGAUGAGGUCAGGGUGAGUCUCUGUAGAGCUUCCUGGAGGUGGUAGAGGAUGACGUCAGGGUGAGUCUCUGUAGAGGAUGACGUCAGGGUGAGUCUCUGUAGAGGAUGAGGUCAGGGUGAGUCUCUGUAGAGGAUGAGGUCAGGGUGAGUCUCUGUAGAGGAUGAGGUCAGGGUGAGUCUCUGUAGAGGAUGACGUCAGGGUGAGUCUCUGUAGAGGAUGACGUCAGGGUGAGUCUCUGUAGAGCUUCCUGGUGGUGGUAGAGGAUGACGACAGG
rnacentral:lncRNA from 1 species